UACGGAGGGUGCAAGCGUUAAUCGGAAUUACUGGGCGUAAAGCGCACGCAGGCGGUCUGUCAAGUCGGAUGUGAAAUCCCCGGGCUCAACCUGGGAACUGCAUCCGAAACUGGCAGGCUAGAGUCUUGUAGAGGGGGGUAGAAUUCCAGGUGUAGCGGUGAAAUGCGUAGAGAUCUGGAGGAAUACCGGUGGCGAAGGCGGCCCCCUGGACAAAGACUGACGCUCAGGUGCGAAAGCGUGGGGAGCAAACAGGAUUAGAUACCCUGGUAGUCCACGCUGUAAACGAUGUCGACUUGGAGGUGGUGCCCUUGAGGCGUGGGUGCCGGAGCUAACGCGUUAAGUCGACCGCCUGGGGAGUACGGCGGCAAGGUUGAA
rnacentral:rRNA from 1 species